UUCCGCUUUACGGCUGCCUCUCCCAGACUUGAGCCCGGGAGCGCCCACCGCCGUCAGCCCUGUCUCUGAGAGUCGGCCCCACGGAGAGUGACAGACCCGGCGCGCUGCUGCCUUCCCCGCCGCGUCCGAGCUGGCCUCCGGCAAUGUGAGCUCGAGGAGACUGCGGUGCCCCCUGGCCCGGGGUUGAGACGGGCGGCAGGUGCCUGUGAGGCGGGCGGGUCCUGGGGGCCUGCAGGAUGGAGGAAAGCAUGGAAGAGGAGGAGGGGGGCAGCUACGAGGCGAUGAUGGACGACCAGAACCACAACAACUGGGAGGCCGCGGUGGACGGCUUCCGGCAGCCCCCGCCACCCCCGCCGCCCCCCUCGUCGAUCCCAGCCCCGGCCCGAGAGCCUCCGGGGGGGCAGCUGCUGGCGGUGCCCGCGGUCUCUGUGGACAGGAAAGGCCCCAAGGAGGGGCUCCCGAUGGGGCCGCCGCCACCGCCCGAGGCCAAUGGGGUGAUCAUGAUGUUGAAGAGCUGCGACGCGGCCGCCGCCGUUGCCAAGGCGGCCCCCGCCCCCACCCCCAGCUCCACCAUCAACAUCAACACUUCCACCUCCAAGUUCUUAAUGAAUGUUAUAACUAUUGAAGAUUAUAAGAGCACAUACUGGCCAAAAUUGGAUGGUGCCAUAGAUCAGCUUUUAACUCAGAGUCCUGGUGACUAUAUCCCCAUAUCCUAUGAACAGAUAUACAGUUGUGUGUAUAAAUGUGUGUGCCAGCAGCACUCGGAACAGAUGUAUAGUGAUCUGAUUAAAAAGAUAACUAAUCACCUAGAGAGAGUCUCAAAGGAGCUGCAGGCCAGCCCUCCAGAUCUCUAUAUUGAAAGGUUUAAUAUAGCUCUUGGACAAUAUAUGGGAGCAUUGCAGAGCAUUGUGCCUCUUUUCAUAUAUAUGAAUAAGUUUUACAUCGAAACCAAGCUUAACAGAGACUUAAAAGAUGACCUUAUAAAGCUGUUUACGGAACAUGUUGCAGAAAAGCACAUUUACAGCCUAAUGCCUUUACUUUUAGAAGCCCAGUCAACACCAUUUCAGGUCACACCUUCAACUAUGGCAAAUAUUGUGAAAGGCCUGUACACUCUCAGACCAGAGUGGGUUCAAAUGGCUCCAACUCUAUUUUCUAAAUUUAUUCCAAACAUUCUCCCUCCGGCGGUAGAAUCUGAACUUUCUGAAUAUGCUGCUCAAGAUCAGAAACUUCAAAGAGAACUUAUACAGAACGGUUUUACCAGGCAAGUUUUUUUUCCUUUUGUGACCAUAUAUGUCCAUUUCCUUGGGCUAGUUGGGCUUGGCGGGGGAGGGAAUCCCAGGGUUCUCAGACCAGGAAAUAACCAGGCCCCAGAAUCAGGGGCCACUGCUGGGAGAGGUAGUUAGGUCGCUGUCUCGGGAAACGUUGAAGCUGGGUUUUGAUUUUAUGGAAGCUGCUCUUCACUAAAUGGACUUGAAGAAGGGACUUUUUUCAGUUGGGUGGGCGGUUAGGCUGGGCAACCUCCAAUAGCUCUUGCAACUUACUAGUUCUGAACAUUUGGAAAAACAAUGUAGAAAUUUUAUGAUUAGUUAUAAUGUACUUUUAUGACUAAACUAGUGAAGAGGCUUUAGAUUCUGUUUUUCAUAAUUUCACUUUUGCCCUAAAUUCUAGUUGUUUCUUCUUAAAAAGUAAGAUUUCUCUUUAUAUGUGUCCAGAAAAUUUGCCUCACUUGACUUCGCUAAUUUUUCUAAAAUUUGCAAUUCAAUAUCAUGGCUGUAUCCUGGAAAAUUUUGUGAAGUGCAUAUUUUCAGCUAAAAUUAUAUAAAAAUUUUGUGAUUCCCUGUGGGAAAACAGCUGUGUCACCAGAUCAUUGAAGGGUACAGUAAUACCUUAUAUUUUCAUGAUCCAUACUCUUUACUUAGCACUUUUACAUAUCUUUUCUUAUUGGAAUCCCUGGCAUUAAAAGAAGACAGACACCUGGCCUCCUCACUUAGGCAUGGUUGUGACCACUGGAGAUGGAUAUUCUCUUUCAUAGGUUCUGAGGCCAAAGUCCCAGAAUAUGAGUCAUAACCAAGAUCACUGUUACUAAGUCUUUAGUUUCAGCACAGGUUAGGAAAGAAAGCAGAUAAUUUCUUCUUUGUUGGCCGAUGGGUUGGCAUUUAUUCCAGUCUUGUCCCUGCGGCGUCUGUUUUCGUGUGCUGGUGGCGGUAGUGAGUAAUCCACUGGUCAUUUGCCCCACUGACUGGCAGCUCGCACUGGAAAGGCUCAGUGAAGCCGUGUAGAUAGGCCUGGUAAACCCGACUUUAUUGUGUCAGGUUAGGGGAAGGAAAGGCCAGUGGGAAACGAUAGAAUGUAAACAGCUGGUUUUUCUCCCUGAUGUCCAGUGGUCAGGUGUUUCCUGACGUUAACUGAAGUAUUUCUAAUAGUGGUAUUAUUUUCAUACAUAGAAUGAGGCCAUUUAAUGCCAUAGUCGUCUUACUUAUUCAUUUUUGAAGAGCUAAUGUAUUUAUAUGGUUCAAAAAUCAAAAUGAUACAAAAAGUAUACAUUGAGAAGUUUUGUUUCCAUCUGUCUCUUCAUCUUACUCCCACCCUAUUAGGUAACCAUUUUUAUUAGUUUCUUAUGAUUCCCUUCACUGCUUUUUUUAUAUACAGAUAAAAGCAAAUACAAUAUAUGUUCUUAUUUUUAAUCCUUUCUUACGCAUUUCAUCGUGUAUAUAUACUACAAGUUACUUUACUAUUCCCCUGUAGAUGGCAACGUGAAUUAUUUCCAUCUUUUGCUAUUACAGAGAGUGCCACAAUGAAUAACCUUGUACAUGUGUAAUUUUGUACCUGUUGCUGGUAUAUCUGGAGAGUAAAUUCCCACAAGUGGGAUUGCUGGGUCAAGAGGAAAUACAGUUAGAAUUUUGAUUAAUAUUGCCAAAUUGCCCUCCACAGGGAUUGUGCCAUUUUGCAUAUCCACCAACAGAGUUUGACAGUGCCUGUUCUUCAUGGCCUUGCCUGUGGGGUGUGGUGCUACCCUUUUGGAUUUUUGCCAAUCUGGCAGGUGAAAAAUAAUUACUCAGAGUUGGUUUAAUUUGCAUUUCUCUUAUUGCGAGUGAGGCUGAGCGUGUUUUCAUGUGUUUACUUUUUCUGUAAAUGGCCUGUUUAUGUCCUUUGUUCACUCUUCUCUUUGAUUGUUGGUCUCUUUCUCUUAGUUUCUAGGAGCUCUUUCUGUAGUGAAGAGAUUGAUUCUUUGCCCAAGAUGAAACAGUUAUUUUUUUGUUUGUCUUUUGACUUUGCUUAUGGUGGUGUGUUUUUAUUUUUAUUUUUUAGUUUAAGUCAUGCAGAAGUUUUUUUAUUUUCGUGUAACUAACUUUAUCAAGUUUUUUCUUUAUGGCUUAUGUAUUUUGAAUUAUAGUUAAAAGUUUUUCCUUAAAUGUUUUUAUUCAUGUUUUAUUUGAAUGUUUGCUUUUAAUUUUAGAGAUGAGCUUAUUGAUGCCUUUAAAAAAUAAAGUCUUCUGAAAACUUUUAUUUCUGUGAAACAGUUUAGGAAGAUAGCUUUUGUGGAUUUUUCUGAAUGCCUUGAAUUCACCUUCCAGAACAGUUUGUGGGACUUUUUAAACACAUCCAGAGACAUUUUCCUGAUGCUAAUUUUGGAACUAGAAUAAGAGAACAGGGUGCAGGAGUGCUUGGUGUGUAGUAGCUGUUAUGUCAGAUUUGCUUGGGAUGAGAUGAGUAACCGACUCCAUAAAUAGCUGCUUGUAACAUUGCCUUUGUACGUGAAGGACUGACAGCCAAGGCCAGGUUGGUCACAUUCAGGGCAGUGCCUUGGAUUUUUGAUGUAAAUUGGAAUUUUUGUUUCUCUUAGUGGAAUUCUUUCAUACAACUUUUGCCUGAAAUUUAAAUGUUAGAAUUCCAAGUGGUGAUAAAAUUAAAAUGUUUUAGUUUAUAAACAUUCAUGAAUUGGGCCAUUUCUAGAAUUAAGUUAACAAUUCAUUAGAUAUUUACUAUGAGGACUAAAGUCUGCCUCAUAAAUUAUCCUGAUGGCGCUUUGCACAAAGUAGGCCCUGCCUAAGCUGACGUUCUCAGACUCACUCUGCCCACUGCCCAGCUGCCCAGACCACUCAGAGAGGGUGUGCACACACCGUCUUCCAGCAGCUGAGAGAAAAUCUGCCUGUAUUUCCAGCUCUUGUGCUUGCAGCUCUUGUUUCACAUUCUGCCCUGCCUGGCUUGAUACCUUCUUUGAUCAUUAUUUGGCUAGGAUUGUUUUGGAAGAAAUGCUGUCCACUGAUGCAAAAAAAUUUGAGAAUAUAGUACAGCUAUCUAAUAAGAAUUCUGUUACUGGCUGUUCUGAUAUGAAGAGUCUUUUUAUGGUUUAUGCCUAACCAACCACGUGAUUCCUGUUUGGCUGUGCAAACUAUUUUUUCAUUUAAGAUUAUGUUCCGCUUAGAUGAUGUGGGGAGUCCUGAAUAGGCAGUACACAGCUUUAAUAUGGAUGGCACAGCGUAAGUCUUUGAAAUGUUUUGAAAUAAUGUGUAAGUGUUGUCAAAUAUAUACUCUUGCAGUUAAUGGACAGAUUCUCAUUUGAGCUGGAGUUUAUGUGAAAGAUUUUUAGGUGCCUGGAAAUAUAGUAUGGAUGUAUUUCAAAGCUAGAAUUAACAUAUAAGCUAAAAGCAACAUUUUCUUUUUAUCUGUUACCUGCAUAAUUGAAUUGAUUAUUGUGGGGUUGAGCAGGUUAGUGUCUGUUGUUGUCAAAGAUUACAUUAUGAAAGAUAAGCUCAUUUGGAAACUUCGAACAUGCACGUCCUCACAUGGAGCAUCCUCAUUCACACCAGCCUGCAGUCCUCCACCAAGCGUCUACCAAACAGCUUUUAAAGGCAAAUAAAAUGUUGUUUCUGAGUAAUUGUUACUUGAAUUUCUGAAACGAAAUAAAACUUUGUAGAAGUAUUGUUGGUCUUCUAGCUGAGAGGGUCACUCUAGAAUUGGGGCUUUUCCAUUUAGUAGCAGGGAUCUUGUUUCGAGGGCAGCUUGUAGCCUUCCGGACGUUGGCAGCCUCUUGCAUACAUCACAUUUACACUCUCUCUUCCCUCCUCCUGUUGUUCUCACAUCUGUAUUUUUCUCCUGUUAUUUUUGCACGUUCAGUUUUUAUUUAAGCUUUGAGGGGUGGGACUGAAGGUUGUCUGUAGAAAUUGAGGUUCCAGAUAUAAGAUCUUGUAUCUUUCUUUUGAUCAGCACUAACUUAAUUAUUUCAGAAUAUUUGAUCAAUGCUACUGUGAUGAUACUAGUGUAAAUAAUAAUGUAAGACACUCAGCUGGCUUUGGGUAGGUGUAGUGUUAACAAUAGAGCUGUUGAGAAGGGACAUUAGAAUGUCUGUCCCGAGCUCUUUAAGCUGCCUGAGGCUGGUUCAUGCUACAUGUUGUGGAUGUUUUUUUCUCUAAAUGCUCAGCCUAGAGGAAAACCCUUCAAAGGCCAUUAAGUUUGUUCUCUUUCUGCCAGUCAUUAAGACUCCUCCCAACCCAAGCAAGAGGUUUCUGUCCCGGUCUUGAUCAUGACCAGAGAAAGAAAGUGGGAAACUUUGGCAAUCUGGAAGAUUAGCAGGAAGUAAUUAUUUGGACUAGCAUUUUAAUAAUCCAUCUAUAGAGCCAUUUAUGAAUUAUUCACUAAUUCGUUAAUUCAGCAAAUGUUUAUUUUUUACAGUGGACACCGUUCUAGGUACUGGGUGAACAAGACAGGCAGCGUUCCUGUUUUUAUGGUGCUUAUGCUCCAAUGUCAGGAGAUAGAUAAUAAACAUGUAAACAAAUUAUUUCAAAUAAUAGUAAGUGCUGUGAAGAAAAUGAAACAGAGUGUGGGAUAGAGAGUGAGUGAGCAGGGUGUGUGUGUGGGGCUUUUCCAUCUCACUUGAUAACGUGAUGCCUUCUGAGGAGGGGACGUUGCAGCUCUGGCGCAGGUGAUGAUAAGGAGAUAGCCAGGUGGCUUACUAGGGGGAAGAGUGUUGUAAGUACAAUAGUGCUGACAUGUCCAAGGGACAGAAGAAGCCAGAGUGGCUGCAUUGUAGUGAACAGAGGUAGAAAAUGAGGGUGGCAAGGUAGGCAGGAGCCAUAUCUCACAGGGCUGGGCAAAUGAAUUUGAAUUGAUUUUUACUCUAAUGGAAAGCCACUGAAGGGCUUUAAUCAGAGGCGUGAAGUAAUCUUCUUUAUGCUUUUACAUGAGAUCACUUUGGCUCUUGUCUGCACUAAUAAUAGGACUCUUGCAGUUGUGUAGGGGAGAGAUGACGGUGUCUUGGGCUGGGAUUGUAGCCCUGGGGUUGAUGAGGAGUGGCUAAUUUUGGAUUAUGUUUUGGGAUAGAAUGCUAUAGAGUGAGGGAAAGAGAGAAAUCAAGAAUGAGCUAGGAUUUUGGCCUGAGGGAUCGGGUGGAGAGUAGUGCAGUUUACUGAGGAAGACUGAGGAAGGAGUGGGUAUGGAGUGGAGUCAGCAGUGCUUUCUGGCCGUGGAAGAUUUGCGAUAUAUAUAAAUCAUCCAGGUGGCGAUGGUGAUGAGGCAGUUGGACCUACCCGGCUGAAGUGUAGGGAAGAAAUCAGAGCUGGAGAUAGAAUAGUCUUUGACCCACUGGCAUGUGGAUAGUAUUUCAAGUCACAGGACUGGUAUGAUCAACAUCCUAGAUGAAGGCGAAUAUACAUGGAGAAGAAAAAGCGGCCAGGACAGUGUUGGGCAGGGCCAAAAGUGUUCCAGGAAGGAGGAGAAAAGCUGUGUAAGUGCUGCUAAAGGACCGAGGAAGAAGAGCUAGUGGACUGGUCGUCAUUACUCAUUACUUGAGCAUUUUAGUCAUUUGUCUGGAUUAUUAUCUGAAAAACUGGAGAGACAAAGAUGGAAUUUACAGGUAGCAUAGGACCUAAUCAGAACCUCUAUUUUCUUCUCUCUAAAGUGGAACUAGCACCUCCGCUGUAGGUGUUUGAGAUGAGCUGGUUACUGUGUGUGAAGGUUCAUGUCCUUCCACCCGCAAGAAGAGUAUUCAGAGGUGACCAGUCCCGGAAGAGAGCUGGGGAUGAGUUGGCUUAUAACAGCUCAUCAGCAUGCGCAAGUUCCAGAGGGUACAGAUAGUGAAUGCAUUGAAUGUACUUUCCUUCCUGAAAAGAGGACACUGGAGCUGCAGAGACUAUUGAGAGCACAGCGGGGGUCCUGCGACACGCAGGAGCUCUGUCACAAAGCCCUUCUUGGAAGAAGAUGUUGGACUUCUUACUUUGGUCUGUAAUUUUAAAAAACAAAAAACUAACAAAAACAAAAAAACAGUCAGUUGCUGCUAGCUUGGGGAUGAUUUUGAAAUGGGACAAUCCUUUAAUGAAUUUAUCUACAGAUUCCGUGAGGAACAAGCGUCUUGAAAAGUGCCCAUUGCUGAGUGAAAUCGGGCAGCCCAAAUCAGCAGCUUCCUCCAAAAAUAUAAGAGCAGAAGAAUCGUUUUUUUUCCUAAAGCACUUGACUCGUUCAUUUGUGGACUUGGCACUUCGGCAUAUUGGUUUUACACAUCAAGAUAUCUUUUGCUUUAAAAUCAAGCGGAUCAUUACAGUAUUUUUCACCCAAAACCAAAACAAGCCCCUUUAAAAGAGUUGGUCUUUAUUUAGCAUUAGAAAGCCUCAUUAAGGGAAAAUGCUAACUCUGCUUUCGCUAUAACUCUCCCCCCAUCAGUUCACAACUUUCUUCUACUCUGUGCCUUGAGCUUUGUGCACUUUGCAACUCUGUGACCAUGUUGUCAGACUCACAAAUGCUUCCUGAAAAAGUUUAUGGUAUUACAGACUAACCCACCAAGAUGUCAGGUGUGACUUGGUAACAGGAUGCGAAGUAAGUGGGAAAAUAGAAACACGUGGGCACAUUGGUCAGAUUUCCCCCUUCUUCACCUUGGCAUCUUCAUGUUAACGUUGGGGACCAACUCUCAUAGAACAUUUCCAUUCCCUCUAUCACUUACCAUGAUUUCACCAGCUGCUGUCAUUGGCAUUAUGCUAGUUUGGGGGAGGCGGGACCUUAGUACUAGAGCUCCCUUUUUAAUAUUGUUGAGAAUUAUCCAACAGUGAGAGCUGGUUCCUGUGACGCUGCAGGAAGCAGGUAUGGUUAUUAGAUCCAAGUAUAAUCAAUGGUGUGGGAUUCCUGAUCCAUUUCAUUUUAAAUGGGUGAAAUAAGUACUUAAAAAAACAGUCUGCAGUCUGCAUCUUUUAAACCUUCUAUUCGAGUAUAAUAGAGAAGCAGCCAUGCUGUUUUAAGGCUCCCUUUCAUCUGUGGCAAAGCUAUAUGUUCUGUUUUUCUAUACCCACAGUGCUAUUUAGUUCCUUAUGAAAGACUCUGAAGCUUAUUCUAGUUGUUUUUGAAAGGCAAAGAAAAAUAGAAAGAUGUGGCAAGGGAAAAAUAUUUUUCUUCUCAAUUUUGCUUGAAUCUAAAUUGAGCAUAUGCUUGACUCUAUUUGGCUAUGUCAGACUAAUAUUUACCUCUUUAGAAAACUUAGGGCAGAAAAAGAAGACGUAUCAGGGAUGCUGUCACACUUGUGGUUUGCAGAUUUUUCAUAGGGUUGCCUCUGCCACUUCAGUUGAUCCUUUUUUUUGGUGAGUGGCAUGGGUGGGAGAGUUAGAAGUGUGAUAUUCAGAGCCAGUAAGUCAUCUAAUAGAAGUCCUCUAUUUGUAAAAUUAUUAUUCAAAGAAGUAGAAGUAAAGGUGGUCAGAUUUAUUUUUUUAAGUACUUAUCAACCAGAGUUGGUGGAUUUUGUGGAGGACUUCGAAUUGGACACAUUUAACUCGGUGAGCAUCUUGGAUUGUAUUGAUAAACACUGAAUUACUGUAAGAAUAUAUACAGGCUCUCGCUAUACCCUGUACAGUUUGAUUUGCUGCACCAGUAACAUUCUAAUAUCAUGGAAGAAUUCCGUUUUAUCACGUAGUGUCCAAAUUUUCCUUUUCUCAGUGGAAUGCUUGCUGCAGGCUUAUAAAGAACACUUGUACCUGGAGGGUCUCCUGAGUGGUUUUAAUAAUAUUUCUGAAAGGAACAAAAUUAGAGUGUUUCUUUAAAUGUGGAUGAAUUCUUCAGUGUCCUAAUAAUAUACCCAAACGCUUUUUAUGGGAAAGAGUGUUCUUCUUUGGCCAACAAUGGAACUUUCCCUAUAAAAGCAUCAUAUUGUGAUAUGAAUUGGCAUUAAAACCUUUGGAUGCUUUUGCAUUAUUAAGUUAAUGGAGAAAUAUUUUAUAUUGUCUUCUUUUUAUUAUUAUGUUUGUGUUAAAAAAAAAGUGGGCAGCAUAAAGUUUGCAAAAUUUAGUUUCUCUGAAUUUUUGCACCGGGACUGUAGUCAGCUGUGGGUCAGGGCUUGGUUACUGCAAAGCCGUGAUUGGAAUGUGCUGUAGAGAGAAUACACGUGUUGUCCCAGUGCAUGUGACCUGGUGGUUACUCUUCUUGGCCCCUUGAGGUACAUUGCAGUAUGAAAAACCUAUUUCUUUAUUUCAAGUCGAAAUUGACCUUGCUUAUUUAAUUGGGGUUCAUAACAAAAUUCUUAGUUUGCAACAUGAGAGGAAAUCAGAUUUGCCCUCCAUUUUGUAUUGACUAAGCACUGUUUGCCAGAAAGUAUUUUCUUCUUGUGUUUACUUGUGUUCUUCUUGCCAGUACAGCAUAUAGUUUUUCCACUCCAGUUAAGUACUGGCUUUUGUGGGGCCUGGAUCAUUGAAGACAGAAGAUGGCACAUGCAGCCUUGGUUGUUUCAUUAGUCAACGCAUGCAGUUGAUGUGGCUAAACUGACUAGCGUGUGUGUGCAGCCUGAAACUAGAGCCUCCAGAAGCAAGCCGGUUCGGUCACCUGGAAAUCAUGACAUGUAAAAGUAAAUAGAUGAUCAUUGUUUUCAGAGAUAGUACUUAUUUUAAAGAUUGGCCUUAAGCUUCAAUGACAGUGUCAUCUCGUGUCCUCUGUUGUCACUGCUGCACCCUCACCUGACAGGAACUACUACUUUGUUUUCUCUGGGUCAGAAAGCAAAACCUGGUCUAGUGACUCUUAACCUAGUAGUUCUUAGGUGGAGGUAGUGAGAAGAGACACAAACCUGGGUGCAUGAGUUGUGCAUUAUUAAAUUUUGCAGAAAAGUUACUUGUUUUUCCUGUCCCUUGUACAAGUUUGAGGCAGUUCCUCUCCCUUUCUUUGAGAUACAGGAUGAAAACUGAUUUUUGAGUAAGCGAAACUGCAGAAGAAUGGAUGCCCGCGGCCAUUAACGCCGCACAUGCAUCUGCAGCGCUGCAGCCCCGUGAAGCCGCCACUCCCCUUGAUAUAUGCCAUGCUUUCUGUUGGGUUGCAAAUUUGCACACGUAAAGAAUUCCUCAGGAAGAGUUUGCACAUGCAUCACCUCACAAUAUUCUGUACUGACCGAACAAGGGAUUUGAAAGUUUCUCAGCACAAAAGGAGAACUUCAGAGUGGUGAUCUGUGCAAAUGUACUAGCAAAGGUAAUGGUAAUCCAGCAAACACGGUUGGUUUCUGCAGUUACAAAGUGAGCAGGAGCACUUGUAUCAUAGUAUUUAAAUAAGCCUGUUUAAUCUCCCAGAGUAACCCUUCCAGACUUUGUCUUCUUACUGAGGCUGGCUGUAUUUUCUUCUGUUUUUUGUGUUUUGUUGAAGUUAAUUAUUUCCAUGAUUAUUAUGCAAGAGGCGUUGCCCUUGAGCUAAAAUUCAGUUGUUUAAUAAGCACCUAUUAUUAAAAAAACUGAAUAUUUUAUGAAUAUACACUAAUCUGAGAUAUUAAAAAACUUUACAACUAAAAAGCAAAACAAAAAACCUACAUUAGCUAUCCAGUCAUUUGGAUGUUUUGAGUUGAUUUUUGUAUGGUGUCUCAUUGAGCUUCUUAGCUCAGAGUAUUAUGUUUACUUUAGUCCAGGUCUAGGCCUCUCAAGGGGACUUUAAAUUUUAAAAUCAGGUUGUGAAUCCCUUGACUGACACCUAUAAGAGGUUUAUAAGACCUUUUUGGUUGUGAUUACUAUUUUCAAUAAGAUUACAUGAGAUGAAGUUCAUGUUUAUCAGAAGUUAAAAUACAGGUCGUAGGAGUUCACGGAGAAAUGACUCUCCUGUUACUUUUAUUACCUUGUUGAAAUUUGCCCCCGUUUCUGGCCACCAGAAUAUGUGAAAGGACCCCUUUUCUUUUCCAAGGGAAAUGAUUCCUCUUCUGUCCCCACUGUUUAUUAACUAAGUCAUUGACACUUUCCCUCCUCUACUGGCCAAGACCUAUUUUGAACCUCUUUUCAGAGCUGAGUGGCACAAGUACAUACACUAUUUCUGCUUAUGUUGAUGGAGUGCUAUGGGAAAAUGCUAAUCAGAGGUACAUUCUUAUAGGACCCUAGCAUAUAUUACACCCCUGCUGAUUGGAAAUUAUCUUCAUUUCUGGUUGGACUGCAUUGUUUAGAAGAAUGUUAAUGGCUUACAAUUUUGGGAAUUUAUAGUGUGGCUCUGGGGUGAAUUCUGUGGUUUGAAAAGAAUAAAUAUUUUGUAUUGAUUCUCACAUGUCAUUUCAAUGUUGUGACUAUGUACUAAAUGCAAUAAGACUGUGGAUAUUCUUUUAGAAGGGUGUGUUUUGUUAAACAGAUGGCAAUUUAAUUGCUGUCAUUAGUCCUGUUUGUCAAUAUUACAGCCAUGCUGUUCAGGAGAAAUUAUUCAAAUGUGAAGUUGUGGGAAGCUAUGGCUGGAAACAGAAAUGCUUAUGAGUAAAUGGGAGGUCAAAUGCAGACAAGAGGCUUUUGCCACCCACCAGCACAGCCAGAGCAAGGAUGAAGCAGUGAAGUCUAGUCUGUUGGUGCUUGUUUGUUGGAAAGCGUGGUGGAGCUUAGAAGGGUGUUCUGUACAUCAACUCUUUUAUUAAUCCAAGAAAAACAAAAUGGUGGGUGAAACUCUUAUUGACCGGGGAUUCAAAGCCGACUUUGGCUGAGACCUUUAACUUUUGGUGGAUUUUGAAUCGCUCUUUCUGUAUUAGGGAGUAUACCGUCACUCUCAAACACUGUGGUUAAUGAAAUAAAUCUUGUACAGAUGUC